GGAGAGAUGUCUGAGUGGUUGAAAGAGCCGGUCUUGAAAACCGGUGACGGUUUGCGCCGUCCGUGGGUUCGAAUCCCACUCUCUCCUCCA
rnacentral:tRNA from 1 species